GACAGAGGGGGCAAGCGUUGCUCGGAAUCACUGGGCGUAAAGGGCGCGUAGGCGGGAUGGCAAGUCGGUCGUGAAAGCCUUCGGCCCAACCGAAGAACGUCGGCCGAUACUGCCGUUCUUGAGGGAUGCAGAGGAGACUGGAAUUCCCGGUGUAGCGGUGAAAUGUGUAGAGAUCGGGAGGAACACCGGUGGCGAAGGCGGCCACCUGGACGGUAACUGACGCUGAGACGCGAAAGCGUGGGGAGCAAACAGG
rnacentral:rRNA from 1 species